CAGAACAUAGCUUAACAGAAAAGCACCUCCCUUACACCGAGGAGACACCCGUGCAAACCAGGUUGCUCUGA
rnacentral:tRNA from 4 species